UCCUUUAAGCUAAUGGGUCGGCAAAAAAAUGGGUAGAAUUGAGGAAAAAGAUUGAAUCUAAUCGGUGAAAAUUGAUGGAAUUGAAGAAACGGAUCGACCCAUUGGCUUAAUGGGUCGGUAAAAAUGGGUGGAAUUGGAGAAAAAAUUGGAGAAGAAGAGGUUUAGGAAGAUGGAGGAUUAGGGUUUUGUCGAUAUGGGAAAGAUGGGAAACGGUGUGAGGUGAGG
rnacentral:misc_RNA from 1 species